rnacentral:rRNA from 1 species
GGUGAACGCUGGCGGCGUGCCUAAUACAUGCAAGUCGAGCGAAUGGAUUGAGAGCUUGCUCUUAUGAAGUUAGCGGCGGACGGGUGAGUAACACGUGGGUAACCUGCCCAUAAGACUGGGAUAACUCCGGGAAACCGGGGCUAAUACCGGAUAACAUUUUGAACCGCAUGGUUCGAAAUUGAAAGGCGGCUUCGGCUGUCACUUAUGGAUGGACCCGCGUCGCAUUAGCUAGUUGGUGAGGUAACGGCUCACCAAGGCAACGAUGCGUAGCCGAGCUGAGAGGGUGAUCGGCCACACUGGGACUGAGACACGGCCCAGACUCCUACGGGAGGCAGCAGUAGGGAAUCUUCCGCAAUGGACGAAAGUCUGACGGAGCAACGCCGCGUGAGUGAUGAAGGCUUUCGGGUCGUAAAACUCUGUUGUUAGGGAAGAACAAGUGCUAGUUGAAUAAGCUGGCACCUUGACGGUACCUAACCAGAAAGCCACGGCUAACUACGUGCCAGCCGCCGCGGUAA